rnacentral:rRNA from 1 species
ACACUGUUCAUGGGUUACCGCGGCUGCUGGCACGGAGUUACGCCGGUGCUUCUUCUGUACGAGUGACUGUCCUUCCUGCCGGCUAUUAACCCGCAGGCCUUCUUCCUCACUGAAAGUGACUUUACAACCCGAAGGCCUUCUUCACACACGCGGCAUGGCUGGAUCAGGGUUGCCCCCAUUGUCCAAUAUUCCCCACGUGCUGCCUCCCGUAGGAGUCUGGGCCGUGUCUCAGUCCCAGUGUGGCUGAUCAUCCUCUCAGACCAGCUACGGAUCGUCGCCUUGGUGAGCCGUUACCUCACCAACCAGCUAAUCCGACAUAGGCUCAUCCGAUAGCGCGAGGCCCGAAGGUCCCCCGNUUUCCCCCGUAGGGCGUAUGCGGUAUUAGGCCUGGGUUUCCCCAGGUUAUCCCCGACUACCGGGCAGAUUCCAUGCAUUACUCACCCGUCCGCCGCUCGCCACCAGGGAGCAAGCUCCCCGUGCUGCCGCUCGACUUGCAUGUGUUAGGCC